rnacentral:rRNA from 1 species
AUGGGUCCCCGUUGCCAUCUUGAAUCACGCCGCCGUUCAUUUCCCCAAUCCCCUCUCCCCCCUGCGAGUUUUCCCAUCUCCGCGACCCACGAGCGCCGCCGCCCCCCACUGCUCCGCCAUCACCUGGUCUUGCGCGCCGGUUCGCUCGACGGGCUCCUCGCGGACGGGACGAGCUGCGGCGGCGGCAGGAGGGCCGGAGACCAUCGGUGUCGUCCGCAAAUCAAUUUCAGCGCCCGCCACCUGUUCGACGAAAUGGACAAGAAGGCUACCUGCACCCGCGAGGAUCCCUUCCGCGUCCUCCCCGACGACGUGCUCGACCACAUCCUGUCCUUUCUGCUGGGGGAUGAUGCCAUGCAGACCUGCGUGCUCAACACCCAGUGGCGCGACCUCUGGAGGCGCAAAACCAGCCUGCGCUUCAUCCUUGACGAAUGGUCAAGUUACAGCACCCAGCGUUUCAAUCAGUUGGUGAAGCUGAUAAUCCACCUCAGGGGGGACUCACCUCUGACCGACUGCCAGAUCAAUCCCUGUGGUGAUGUGGGCCAUUGCGAUUUCUCACAAACCAAGCUGUUGAUUGAGUACGUUCUAAAGUGCCGGGUUGAGGAUCUCUUAGUUUGCGCCGGUGAAUAUGUUCAUGAUCCAUUGCUGCUUGAAGCACGUCUCAUCUCCCUACACUUGAGGACCAUAGAAUUUGGAAACGUUGAUCUCGUAGAUUCCUCACUAGAUUUCUCGGGCUGCCCAGUAUUACAGGAGCUAAGAUUCCUCACUAGAUUUCUCGGGCUGCCCAGUAUUACAGGAGCUAACAAUAGAAAGUUGCUGCGUUGGCACAAGGAAGAUAUGUUCUAA